rnacentral:rRNA from 1 species
UAUCCCUACGGGACGCAGCAGUGGGGAAUAUUGCACAAUGGGGGAAACCCUGAUGCAGCGACGCCGCGUGAGUGAAGAAGUAUUUCGGUAUGUAAAGCUCUAUCAGCAGGGAAGAAAAUGACGGUACCUGACUAAGAAGCCCCGGCUAACUACGUGCCAGCAGCCGCGGUAAUACGUAGGGGGCAAGCGUUAUCCGGAUUUACUUGGUGUAAAGGGAGCGUAGACGGUAGAGCAAGUCUGAAGUGAAAGCCCGCGGC